rnacentral:rRNA from 1 species
UACGGGGGGGGCAAGCGUUGUUCGGAAUUACUGGGCGUAAAGGGCUCGUAGGCGGCCAACUAAGUCAUACGUGAAAUCCCUCGGCUUAACCGGGGAACUGCGUCUGAUACUGGAUGGCUUGAGUUCGGGAGAGGGAUGCGGAAUUCCAGGUGUAGCGGUGGAAUGCGUAGAGAUCCGGAAGAACACCGGAGGCGAAGGCGGCUUGCUGGGCGUGAUCUGACGCUGAGGCGCGAAAGCGUGGGGAGCGAACAGG